AGCAUCUUUGUCCUUCAUAAUUCCUAACCCUAUUUCAUUCUUUCAGCUGUAUCUCUCUUUCUCUGGUUUCACUCUACAUCGUCUUCGAACUUGGAUUUAUCAUCUCUUCAUCGGCUACAAUUCCUCAAACACGUUAAAUCUCAUUCAUCUUUUUCCCCUUGAUUUUAUUACAUCUUGAAAGAUCUACAAACAUAUCCACCUGCACCGACACCUUCAUCUCGCAAAAAGCUCACAAAAUCAUCCAAAAAGCCGAAAUUCACCCCCAAACCAUCGGUUCAGAGGAGAGGAACUUUUGUCUUACCUAAAAGUGACAGUAGUGAUGAUGAUUCUGAAACCGAGCAGGAAUUACUCCACACAGUCAUUCUUUUGAUUUAUGCAUCAAAACGAGCUUAUGCAAGUCAUGCAAUGGGCAGAGGGUGGUGAGAGGCCCAAGUCUGUGAAAGUUAAUAUCAUGCCAGCUUGAAUAUGGGCAUGGGUGGCCGUCAGUGCUGCUGCUGCUGCUAAUAUCUUACGACUUGGGUUUUGUCAUCACUGUGGCUUCUGCCAUAAUAAUAAUAAUAAUAAUAAAUGCUGGAAUUAUUCUUCGUCGUCUCCAUAAUAUCUCUAAAUCACAUAAUUGUGCCAAUCAUCCAUGCUUUAUGUAAUUUUUCUGAAUGUAUCUUUAUGGGCAGGGUGUGUUCUAUCAGAUGUACAGUACCCGUGCAACCCAUGAAGCUAUAGUUGCCUUACGAUCGAAAUAAUGAAUACUCCUAUCGUUUGGUUGACAAACAUGUGUGUAUUCAUUGGCUUCGAGAAUUGAAAACCAAAUCGGCAAUUCGAACUAAAGAAGUUUCUUCUUUUCAUGAUAUCAUUUAUGCUUCUAUCAAGGUCUUUGAUCAUUCCGUGGAGGAGUACAUAACUGCCUAUGAGAUCUUUCACCUUCUAAUUUAGAUGGCAUUAUUCCGGCUUGAAUUAUUAACAUGUUACUUAAGACCAUAUGAAGAAGCAUAUUUCAUUUGUUUCAUUUUAUGUUUUUCAUCAAACAGAUCUGAGUUUAUCUUUUAGCAAAUGGAGACUUCAUUCUUCAAAGUUUUGCAGCACCUAGCAUCACUACACGGGUAUUAACUCGCUUAACAACAACUUAUUUUUUUAUGUUUUAUUAGUUAUGUUUUGCUGGAUCCAUUUUCUAUCCGGGGCAACUCCUCUCCCUUUUCACUCCCAGCUAUUCAAUUUCUUCUCGGAUUCACACUUCCCCUCUUCGAUUGAUAUUUGUGAUGUUACGUUUGAAGUUAAGUAUUUCAUGAUAGGAGGACGGUAUUUGUUCCACCUGUUACCUACCAUGAUGCCAUUAAAGGUUUCAAGAAGGUUGGUGUUAUUGGAUUGGGUCCCAGGGUUCAUGCACAUUAACAACAGUCGAUAGCAUUGAUGAAGUGACUUUCUUUCAACCGGAAGUUUCAUCAGGUACACUCUUGGUGAUCCAGCAAAAGAAGUAUUAAAACACUCAUGUCAAGAUUUGAUGAUGAUAUGCCAGGAUGUCCGAAGCACCUUUUAUCAAGCUGUUGCUGAAUUUAAGAACAAUAACAGUUCUGAAAGCGAGUAAAUGAACUACUCUUUUGAUCCUUUUAUAUUUAUAUCCACUUACUGAUUGUAUGGUUUGAUUUUGUUUGUUAUGACUGGUGGAAUUUUGUCUUUUUCUCAGACUUUGUUUUGUAUCUACCUUAUUUAGAGGUGACAAGUUCAGUCAGUUAAUCAUUUGAUGCGUGUUUA